rnacentral:rRNA from 1 species
GACGAACGCUGGCGGCGUGCCUAAUACAUGCAAGUAGAACGCUGAAGGAGGAGCUUGCUUCUCUGGAUGAGUUGCGAACGGGUGAGUAACGCGUAGGUAACCUGCCUGUUAGCGGGGGAUAACUAUUGGAAACGAUAGCUAAUACCGCAUAAGAGUAGAUGUUGCAUGACAUUUGCUUAAAAGGUGCAAUUGCAUCACUACCAGAUGGACCUGCGUUGUAUUAGCUAGUUGGUGGGGUAACGGCUCACCAAGGCGACGAUACAUAGCCGACCUGAGAGGGGGAUCCGCCACACUGGGACUGAGACACGGCCCAGACUUCUUCGGGAGGCAGCAGUAGGGAAUCUUCGGCCAUGGACGGAAGUCUGACCGAGCAAAGCCGCGUGAGUGAAGAAGGUUUUCGGAUCGUAAAGCUCUGUUGUAAGAGAAGAACGAGUGUGAGAGUGGAAAGUUCACACUGUGACGGUAUCUUACCAGAAAGGGACGGCUAACUACGUG